rnacentral:hammerhead_ribozyme from 1 species
AUCCAGCUGGCGAGACCUAAAUAGGAUGAAACGCAUGUCCUGGAU